UACGGGGGGGGCAAGCGUUGUUCGGAAUUACUGGGCGUAAAGGGCUCGUAGGCGGCCAACUAAGUCGGAUGUGAAAUCCCCAGGCUCAACUUGGGAACUGCAUCCGAUACUGGAUGGCUUGAAUUCGGGAGAGGGAUGCAGAAUUCCAGGUGUAGCGGUGAAAUGCGUAGAUAUCUGGAGGAACACCGGUGGCGAAGGCGGUUCUCUGGGCAUUACCUGACGCUGAGGAGCGAAAGUGUGGGGAGCGAACAGG
rnacentral:rRNA from 1 species